UACGAAGGGGGCUAGCGUUGUUCGGAUUUACUGGGCGUAAAGCGUACGCAGACGGUGAGAAAGGUCGGAUGUGAAAGCCCCGGGCUCAACCUGGGAAUUGCAUUCGAGACUGCAUAGCUAGGAUGCGGAAGAGGGAAGUGGAAUUUCCGGUGUAGCGGUGAAAUGCGUAGAUAUCGGAAGGAACAUCAGUGGCGAAAAGCGACUUCCUGGUCCAGCAUCGACGUCAGGCACGAAAAGCGUGGGGGAGCAA
rnacentral:rRNA from 1 species